ACACUUGGGAACUUGUUAUUUAGAUUCUAACACAACAUACUUGUAUCAACAGUGUUAGAAAAAAAUGGUAACUAAUUUUUACGACCAUGCUAUGCACCUGGAUCUGAUGACAUCAUUGCAUGCAUGUUAGUUAUUGCAGAUUCUAACACAAUCCAAUUCAUUUUUCUUAUUAAACAAGGAAGGCUGAAAACAGUGAAGUAUUAUACAACAAUUCACUGUUCUGAAGUCACAAUCAUUACGUCAUGGCGUCAAACGGCAUAGCGGCGUGCUGGAAAAGAAACCGAUUGAAAACGAGCAAAUAUUUAAUGAAUGCCGUCAAGAAUGUACUUUAAAGUCGCAGGAACAUCCAAGAUUGCAACUAGACAUAUCCUCACCUGCGAACCACAUAAGGUGUCUUCAUAACACUUGGUAUGUGACUUCUCUUAAACUGCUUGGUGUAACUUUAUACCGCUGGUGUUGGAAGAACUGGGUGACAUAUGAAGUUGCAGAGAAGCAAAGAAAAAGACUGUGUAUCAAAAAUUCCAGAAAUAAAGGGGUUGCAGAUCAUUGUAGGAUAUUGUUAUGAGACAUAAGUAGUUAUCCAGCAGAGUUGAUGAUUUUUCUAGUCAUCAGGGAAACAUAAAUCUUCCACUUGAUUAGAACCUACCACCUUCUGAAGUCCUGUGUUGUACCGGUUGAGCUGAUAGUGUGAGCUGGCUUGAUGAAAGGUUGGAAGCUGAAUUACCUAAGCAAGAUUCCAUGGGCAACUGACAACACAGCCAUUGUAUAUCUAAAACUAACUUUCAUGUGGAGAAGUUGUCAGCUACUUGCAGAGAACAGGUUAGAACUUCAUGUAGAGAAGUUGUAAGCUACAUGCAGAGAACAUGUUAGUACUGCAUGUAGAGAAGUUGUAAGCUACAUGCAGAG
rnacentral:lncRNA from 1 species